UACGAAGGGGGCUAGCGUUGUUCGGAAUUACUGGGCGUAAAGCGCACGUAGGCGGACUGGUAAGUCAGGGGUGAAAUCCCGGGGCUCAACCCCGGAACUGCCUUUGAUACUGUCAGUCUCGAGUUCGAGAGAGGUGAGUGGAAUUCCGAGUGUAGAGGUGAAAUUCGUAGAUAUUCGGAGGAACACUAGUGGCGAAGGCGGCUCACUGGCUCGAUACUGACGCUGGGGUGCGAAAGCGUGGGGAGCAAACAGG
rnacentral:rRNA from 1 species